rnacentral:rRNA from 1 species
AUACGGAGGGUGCAAGCGUUAUCCGGAUUUAUUGGGUUUAAAGGGUUCGUAGGUGGAUCAAUAAGUCAGUGGUGAAAGCCUGUGGCUCAACCAUAGAACUGCCAUUGAUACUGUUGAUCUUGAGUACACUUGAAGUGGGCGGAAUGCGUCAUGUAGCAGUGAAAUGCAUAGAUAUGACGCAGAACACCGAUUGCGAAGGCAGCUCACUAAAUUGUAACUGACGCUGAGGAACGAAAGCGUGGGGAGCGAACAGGAUUAGAAACCCUUGUAGUCC